AAAACUGAGGAAGAAAACUGACAAGGUUUUCAAGGGAAUUUCCAGGCUGAGAAUCUACGAUGGCCAGUGAGCUGGUAUGAUUCAUACGAAGUUCCAUGUCUCACUUAUCUCUCCAAAUCAUGGUUCUUCACGAGGGAGCCCUUCUUCAGGCUGUUCUUCCGCUCCACGUAGUUGGACGGUACAUAGCCCGUCCUGUUGGCCGCGUUCCUCACCCGCCACCACGUCUUGGAGUCGUCCAGCAACCACAGCCGCUCGUUCUUCUUGAUGUCCAGCUCCUGGUCCUGCUGGGCGGUGUAGUCCCACUUGGCUAUCACAAUAACUUCUUCUGUCAUCUUUCAUGGAGUCCUUCUGCCAGCAAAACAUUUGGAGAUGCUCAUUAGAGAACUACCCGGACACUUCAUCCUUUGCACCAACUUGAAAAAUUAGGCACUGACAGCUUUUAUUACAACUCUGCAACCAGUUUUCUCCUGGGUCUUGAAAUGCUCAACUUUAAAAUGACCUUCUUUCAACAAGCUUUAGUAUUUGGUUUAGAAACAGCAACCUUAUAAAACAAAUCUUAUGUUACUGUUUGCUGUACAUGGGGAAAUCUGACCCUCUAACAAAAACAAACUUGAAAAAAAUUCUAAAUAACAUUAUAAUUAAAUGAGUCCAUU
rnacentral:lncRNA from 1 species